CCUCUCAGAUCAUUACAUGCUCAACAUAAAAUUAGUUUGGCCUACUACUUCAGCUUAUUUUACCCUGAUUGUCAUAUUCCUAUAGCCUAAUGUUAAGCAAUACUAGUGGUUGUGGCACAAAUCAGCAAUCAUUGAAUAUCACAAUCAGCUUUAUUGACCAGGUUGGAGGUGGAGUCUUUGGACGCUGAAAGGAGUUAAGUAUCAUCAUGUAAUGGAUUGAUAUGUAUUCCGUUACUCCCCAACACUGGAUGAGAUGCCGCAAAGGGCCGUAGAUUGGAACCCAUCCCGCAGCCGCUGCAACAAGGACUGAGCCUCUGUACAUGGGGCGCACGCUC